GUCAGCGCCGGCGUCUGGCAGCGCUGUGCGCGGGAAGUUGGGCACGGAUCUGCAACUCUCUUGGAGCUGAGAUCAUUUCUGGACCAUUGUAUGGUAGAACGUACUCGGCAGUUUGAGAUGGUGACACAGAGAGAGAGAGAGGGGCGCCUGGGUUGGAGGCGCCGAUUGGACACGCGGCGAGAGGAGACGAAGGCCGAUGGCUGAGAAUACAAACGGAGCGGCAGCCAAGGGGUGAAAGCUCGUCUGGGGAGGAGGAGAUGGAGCGGACCCCGCUCCCGCAUCCCCUCGCCGCCGCCACCACCGCCGGACCCCCUCGCGGCCCGGAAGGCCGUGAGCGGGGCCCCCACCCCUCGCGGCUUCAUCCCCUCGCCGCAAGCCGAGACCCCGGGGGGCGGGGCCCCGGGCCCCGCGCCUUCAAAGCGGCGCGAUUGGAAACAGCUGCGGGGCCCGGCAGAGGAGGAGCGGCGUCGCCUUUCAUCGCGAGCCGCGACGCAGUCGCCCGCCGCCGCCGCCACUGCCGCCGCCGCGUUUCAUGAUUGCAUUCCUCGCGAGGAAUUCCUCCUCCUGCUCCUCCAUGAUGAUGCUCCUCCUCCAUGCUGCUGAUGAAGAUGAUGAUGCUCCUCCUCCAUGCUGAUGCUGAUGAUGCUCCUUCAUGUUGCUGAUGAUGAUGCUCCUCAAUCAUG